rnacentral:rRNA from 1 species
AACCUGCCCUCCACUUCGGGAUAAGCCUUGGAAACGAGGUCUAAUACCGGAUACGAGCACUUACCGCAUGGUGGGUGUUGGAAAGUUUUUCGGUGGGGGAUGGGCUCGCGGCCUAUCAGCUUGUUGGUGGGGUAAUGGCCUACCAAGGCGUCGACGGGUAGCCGGCCUGAGAGGGCGACCGGCCACACUGGGACUGAGACACGGCCCAGACUCCUACGGGAGGCAGCAGUGGGGAAUAUUGCACAAUGGGCGAAAGCCUGAUGCAGCGACGCCACGUGAGGGAUGACGGCCUUCGGGUUGUAAACCUCUUUCAGCAGGGAAGAAGCGCAAGUGACGGUACCUGCAGAAGAAGCGCCGGCUAACUACGUGCCAGCAGCCGCGGUAAUACGUAGGGCGCAAGCGUUGUCCGGAAUUAUUGGGCGUAAAGAGCUCGUAGGCGGUCUGUCGCGUCUGGUGUGAAAUCCCAUGGCUCAACCAUGGGCUUGCAUCGGGUACGGGCAGACUAGAGUGCUGUAGGGGAGACUGGAAUUCCUGGU